rnacentral:rRNA from 1 species
AUUGAACGCUGGCGGCAGGCCUAACACAUGCAAGUCGAACGGUAACAGGAAGCAGCUUGCUYCUUUGCUGACGAGUGGCGGACGGGUGAGUAAUGUCUGGGAAACUGCCUGAUGGAGGGGGAUAACUACUGGAAACGGUAGCUAAUACCGCAUAACGUCGCAAGACCAAAGAGGGGGACCUUCGGGCCUCUUGCCAUCGGAUGUGCCCAGAUGGGAUUAGCUUGUUGGUGGGGUAACGGCUCACCAAGGCGACGAUCCCUAGCUGGUCUGAGAGGAUGACCAGCCACACUGGAACUGAGACACGGUCCAGACUCCUACGGGAGGCAGCAGUGGGGAAUAUUGCACAAUGGGCGCAAGCCUGAUGCAGCCAUGCCGCGUGUAUGAAGAAGGCCUUCGGGUUGUAAAGUACUUUCAGCGGGGAGGAAGGGAGUAAAGUUAAUACCUUUGCUCAUUGACGUUACCCGCAGAAGAAGCACCGGCUAA